UACGGGGGGGGGGCAAGCUUGUUCGGAAUUACUGGGCGUAAAGGGCUCGUAGGCGGCCAACUAAGUCAGACGUGAAAUCCCUCGGCUUAACCGGGGAACUGCGUCUGAUACUGGAUGGCUUGAGUGUGGGAGAGGGAUGCGGAAUUCCAGGUGUAGCGGUGAAAUGCGUAGAUAUCUGGAGGAACACCGGUGGCGAAGGCGGCUUUCUGGUCUGUAACUGACGCUGAGGCGCGAAAGCGUGGGGAGCAAAACAGG
rnacentral:rRNA from 1 species